rnacentral:lncRNA from 1 species
UUUCGGGGCAGGGGCGUGACAGAUAUUAGAUGGGUUGUGCUCACCGAAGCGAUUAGGUUGCUUCCAUGCCAAAGUGAAGUAUGUGUCACGCCCCGGGACCGGCGGAGGCCCUCCCGGUGGCGUGCCCAGACCCGCCAUAUGUCUACACAUAUAAGGCGUCUACAAUAAAAGCGGAAGAAAAGCAAGAAAUAGAACAAAUAAAAGAAGGGAAAUAACCAGCAACUAAUGAUAUCAGAGCAAAUAUAGUUCUAACAUCUACACCAAAGUAAAGAGAUAAGGAUAGACAAUAAAGGAAAUCAUAAGUAGUACAAUAUCUGUCUCUAGUACAAAAAUGGUGGUCUCUAUACAUAUACGGGUACAACUCUGAACCUCUCACAAAAAGAUAGCACGAGAGGUAGACCACCUAUCGAACGAUCCCUCGGUAAGCACGCUAGCCCGAGGCGAUACCCUUUCCGCGAUCCCUGGCCUCUCCCUGAGUGGAAGGCUCUGAAAAACAUCGAGAAAAAGAGGGCGUGAGAACUAUAAUUUAUAGUUCCCAGUGGGCAAUUACUGACCUCAGCUCUUGCUCCACUAGGCCCCAAAAACAAGGGUAAGCAACGAUAAUAAUAAAGCAAUAUGGAGCAUAUAUAUAAACUGCUGAAAGAAAGCAUAAAUGAAAUGCUAGUCUACUAUGUCUCAACAUAAAAGCAAGUAAACCUCACGAUGCCAUAUAUCAACGCAUAAGGGUAAACUUUACACAAACAACCGAGUAUGCUACGAUGCGAUAAAGAAACCGGCAAGUAUACAAAAUGUACCAAUGCUAUAUCAUAAGCGUGUCCAAGUAAUCCAACUACUAAUCCUAUCUAGUAGUGACAGUUCAUAUUCGACACCGUGUCGAUUUCCAUUUCCAAUUAAGGACCUACCAAAAGUAGUCCAGCUUGUGCCGCCUAAGUGUCUGUGGUAGCCCGACAUCCCUACUCUUGGAAUGUGUCUGUCCCACUCGACCCCGUAGGCUUCUCAAUACCGCACGAGCGAACAUAGUCGCGUAGGCUAACUCCGGAGUGCCGGCUUGUAGGGAGCGACCCUCACAAGCAUGUACGAAUGAGCACAAAUGGCAAGCAAGCAUAAUCCAAGUCUCAAAUAUCCAAUCCUCAUGUCUCUAACAUGGUAUCAUAACUAGCAUCCCGAAGAUCUAGUCUAAGUCACAAAGUGAAGUUUCAACGGUUGCUACGCCUAGUGCCCCUUGAUGACACUUAGGCAAUUUGAUGUUCAACAUGUUUUCCAAAUCCCUCAAUGGCCCUAUCCACUAGGUUCACACAAGUCCUGAGCUCAAUGCCGCUUGAUGACAUUAGCUCUCCAAUUCACAUGAUAUCAAGUUCGAUGCCUAUAAUUGUAGCAAUUGUCAUCUUUCAUGUCCCAAUUAAACUUAUGUUUAAACGCAUGAAUCAUAACUCAUGUACUCUCUAGAACCAUGAAAUUAAACCUCAUAUAGAAUGCUAAAUGCAACCAAAGAUCUCCCAAGCAACUCUCUACUGCAUAGAGGUCCAAAAAUUCAUCAUAUAUAACUUAUGCACUUUAAGCAUUCUAAAAAUCAUAAUAAAUACAUUUAAUAUGAAAAUGCAUGAAUUAUUAGUAAACAAGGCACUUAUCACCAAAUAUGAGAUUUUCUCAUAUCAAAGGCUAGGUCAAACCCACCGACGACAACGAAGCUUUUCGUUUGCUCCAACGGAGGUUUCUAUAAGCUUUCUAGCACCCUAGGAACAUCAAAAAGAGUGUCAUCCAAACGAAACGGAGAGCGAAAAGCUCAAACAUUAAGCAUCUAGCAAGAUGGGCAAAACUCACCUCAAGAGUAGAAAUCUCUUCCUAUGCUCCAAAAGAGAGUUAGAACCCUUCCAAUCUAACCUAGGGGAAGGUUCUAAUCCAACCAAUUGAGCCUCAAAAGCCCUAAAACGAAAAUGCCCAAAAUAAACCCUAGAAUCCCAAAUCUAGGGUUUCAUCUCAAUGAAACCUUUAAAAACCAAGAUUAGAAGAAAGGAUCUUGCCACUUACCUCUUAGAAGCUUCAAAAUCAGCUCAAAGUUCUCAAACUUCAAGUAUCUUCCCUCAAUCAAACUCCAAAUCCAAGUUCCAAGCUCCAACAAUGGUGGAAAUAGCUCCAAUAGGGAAAAAGAGAGGGAAAUCCAUCAAAAUCCAAGAAAUUGGAGAUCAAAUCCAAAUAGGGGAAAAGAGGGGCUCCUUACCUUGCUCCUCCUCAGGUUCCAGCACAAGGGAGGCCCUAUGGGGCGUGGGUGCUGUUAUAAGGGUGCCACAAUCGCAAAUAAGCCCCUGCAGAACAAACUGCACGAAAUCAGCCUCCUUGUACCGGUACACGGGAUCUUGUACCGGUACAAGGGCUGCGAAAAUCCAAAUCCGAGGCUCAGGUGCGCGGUCCUGCGGCACUGUACCGGUACAAGCCCGAUGGCUGUACCGGUACAACCAUCAACAUUGUACCGGUACAAGACCAUCCUUGUACCGGUACAAGACCUGCGAAAAUGCAAACCGAGGCUCGGGUUUGCGAGUUCUCGGCUCUGUACCGGUACAAGCACAACCUUGUACCGGUACAAGCCCGCCAGACAGCCAAUCCGAGAGCUGACCAAAAUCCAAAUUUUUGGGUUUUGGUGCAGGGCUUCGUACCACACUCCUCGGGACAUGUGCCUUGGGUCGGAACACAGUCAACGACCUACCAGAAAUCUGGAAAAAGCUCAGAACACGACCAAUCACUCGAACCUCGCAUUUUGCAAAGGUCUAGUGUGUUACAGUAUGUUUCAUUUUGAUGCAUGAAGUGGUAGUAAAAUUGCCAAGUGAAUGUAUAGGAUAUAUGCUAAUUGGGUAUGCAUGAGUUAAAUGCUAAAUGAAUGCAUGUGAUAGAUGCUAAAUAAUGCAUGUGAUAUGUGCCAAGUAAUGAAUGCAAGUAAUGGUAGUCUACAUUGUAAAUGAUACAUGAGAUGUAUGCUAAUUAGGAAUGCAUGAUAAAGAUGCUAAUUAUGAAUGCAUGAAGUAGAGGCUAAUAAAGAAUGCAUAGAAAGUAUGCUAAGUGAAUAUAAGGGCUAAAUACUAAAUGAAUGUAUAAGAUGUAUGCUAAGGAAUGCAUGGGAUAUGUACUAAUGAUGAAUGCAUGAUACAUAUAUGCUAAUAAAGAAUGCAUGAGACAUGUUGAUCACCAUUGAAUGAUAAAGACAUAGGCACGAGUAAGCAUAAAAGGUAUGUAUGCCUAGAUGUAAAUGUCAACUAAGAAUCCUAGGUAUGGACAAUUAGGAAAAUGUGAACAUUGUGUGACAUGUCAAUUAAGAGUCCUAAGUGUGAAUAAUUAGGAUGGCAAGUAUUGUGAAUGGCAUUGUAACCUAGUGUUGUUGAACAUAGGUGAAUCACGAGUGGCAAAGAACCUAGAGUUAAAUAAACCUACGUGAGUGGCAUAAAACCUAGUGUCAUUGAACAUAGGUUAAGAAUCAAACCUAGACUCAAGUAAACCUAGGUUAUGAAUAUAGUGACAUUGAACCUAGAGUCGAAUGAACCUCGGUAGUAAAGAACAUAGAACCUAGUGUUGUAGAACCUAGGCUAUGAGCUUAGUAGCAUUAAUUAGACCUAAUGUUGUAAACCUUAGGUUGAGAAAUGGCUUGGACCUAAAUAGGUCAACACUAUAGGGUAUAAGACCAACCCUAGAGAUGUGAAUGUGGAUUCUGGAAACCCUACGAAUGAAGGCUGCUAGUAUAGCGGAUAAGACUUGCGACGAAAUGCAAGUAAAUCAGAACUGUGGGUAUGUUGGUUCUCCUCGCCCGACAGUGAUUCAACGGGUAUGUUGGUUCUCCUCGCCCGGUAAGUGGAAUAGUAAAUAAGAAUCAUAACUGCGGGUACGUUGGUUCUCCUUACCCGGUAGUGAUUCAAUGAGUAUGUUGGUUCUUCUCGCCCGGUAUGCCAUGAGAAUGUGAACGCGGGUAUGUUGGUUCUCCUCACCCAUAAGUCCAUUGAGCGACUUGAGGUCCGGGGUUCAACGGUAUAUGUUGCAACACACUGGACCUUUGCAAAUUGCGAGGUUCGAGUGUUUGAUGAAUGUUCUGAGUUUUUCGAGAUAUUCUGGAGGGUCGUUGACAGUGUUCCGACCUAUGGCUCGUAUCCCGAAAAUUGUAGUAUUUAAAAUAGCGCUAAGGUCACCAAAGCGAUGGACUUAGGCUGCUCUCGGGUUGCAGUUUUCUGGAAAGUGUACCGGUACACCUUGAUGGUUGUACCGGUACAGAAAGUGUACCGGUGACAACUUGAUGGUUGUACUGGUACAAGUGGAAUUUUCCGCCAACCCGAGCCUCGAGUUCGCACAUACGCGGGAUUUGUACCGGUACACCUUCCCGUGUACCGGUACACUUUGCUCUACAAGCUGUUUUUGUAGAGGGGUGUUUUUGCAUUUGUUACAACACCUAUAUAACUCACCCCAGCUCCCUUUGGAGCUCUUUUGAGCUCAGACCAGAGGAGAAACAAAGUGAGCCCUUUCCCCCCUUGUUUGAUUUCCAUUUUUGAUGUAUUAUUGCAUGUUUUGAUCUCCUCUCUUGCUUUUCCUUGCUUUUUGUUGGUUUCCUCCAUGGGAGAAGCUUGGAUUUCGGGAUUGGAGCUUGUUUGAGGUUUGAUCUUCAACCCUAGCUCACUUGCUAGCUUGAAUUGGUGUUUUGAAGAGGUUAGUAAGUUUAACCUACCCUUUAAUUCAUGUUUUGAAGGGUUUUUGCUAUUGGAACCCUAGAAAUGAGAGUUUAGGGUUUAAAAUAGAGAUUUUUGAGUUGAGGCUUUUUGAUCUUAAUUGAUUGACUUAGAACCUUCCUUUAGGUUGGUUUUGAAGGAUUCUUGCUGUAACACACUGGACCUUUGCAAAUUGCGAGGUUCGAGUGUUUGAGCUGUGUUCUGAGUUUUUGCAGAUUUUCUGGAGGGUCAUGGACAGUGGUCCGACCCAUGGCUCGCAUCCUGAGGCAUAUGGUAUUUUAUGUAGCGCUAAGGUCACCAAAGAGAUGGACUUAGGCUGCCCUCGGAUUGCACUCUGCACAUGGUGAAACCGGUAACAGGUCGCUGGUUGUACCGGUACAUGAUUUGUACCGGUACACCUUGAUGGUUGUACCGGUACACUUCUAUUUUUCUUCCAACCCGAGCCUCAGGUUUGCAUUUUCGCGGGAUUUGUACCGGUACACUUUCACGUGUACCGGUACACUUUGGCAGAUUUUGAACAGUUUGAACUGCAGGGGUGUUUUUGCAAUUGUGGCCUUCUAUAUCACCACCCACGCCCCUAGGGCUCUCCCCUGUGCUGAGAUCAGUGGAGACAAGGUAAGAGAAGCUCCUCUUUGCUUACUAUUUGAAUUUGAUCCCCUUUUAACUUGAAUUUUGGUGGAUUAAACCUCUUUUUUUGCUUUUUUUUUUGCUUGUUGGAGGCUUUCCUACCAUUGGGCUUGGAUUUGAAGCUUGGUUAAGGGAAGAUCUUUAAAGUUUGAGAUCUUUGAACCUUGUUUGAAGCCUCUAAAAGGUUGGUAGCAAGAUCUUAUCCUCUAGAUUUGGUUUUUGAAGGUUUCUUUGAGAUAAAACCCUAGAAUGAAAACCUAGGGUUGAUUUUGGGCAUUUUUUUAUUUAGGGCUUUUAGGGCUCAAUCUCUUGGAUUAGAAUCUUCCAUUAGGUUGGAUUGGAAGGGUUCUAGCUCUCUUAUGGAGCUUAAGAAGAGAUUUCUUUGUUGAAGGUGAGUUUUAGCCCUUUUGUUGAGACGAUUAAAGAUCGAGCUAGGGAUUGUUCGUAACGUUCGUUUCUCUCUUCUUUCCUUACCUUUAGGGUGCUAGAGGACUUGGGGACAACUUCGUUUGAGCUUACGAAUGGUUCCGAAACGCUUCGGUGGGUUUGACCUAGCCACACAAUGAGAAAAUCUCAUUUGUGAUGAUUCGAGUAUCGUAAAAUAAGAAAACAUGCAUAAUCAUGUUAGAUGUAAUAUUUAUGAAUUUUAAAAUACUUAAAAUGCCUAUGUUAUAUAUAUUGUAUUUUCGGACCUCUAUGAAGUAGAGAACUUGCAUGUGAGGCUUAUGUGUGCAUUAGCAUUCUUUUGGGAGACUUGGGUUCCUAUUUAUUUAGUAGUAUUGAUAUAUGUAAAGUGCCAUUGGACUUAAACCCUAGUUGGACAUGGAACUAUUAUAAUGCCAUAAAGGGGCAUUGGACUAGAUUAGCAUGCGAAUUAGAAAGCUAAUGUCAUUAAGCGGUAUUAAGCUUAGGUUAUGGUGUACCUAACGGAUAGGGUCAUUAAGAGAAUUGGAACAUGCUUGAACAUCGAAAUGUCUAAGUGUCAUAAAGGGGCACUAGACUUAGUAAAUGUUGAGACUUCACAUUGUGACCUAGAGCUAGAUCAUUGAGAUGCUAGUGACUAUUACCAUGUUAGAGACAUGAGGAUUGGGUACUUGAGACGAAGUUUACGCUUGCUUGCCAUUUGUGCUCAUUCGCACAUGCUUGUGAGGGUCGCUCCCUACAAGCCGGCACUCCGGAAUUGGCCUACGCGACUUAUGCUCGCUCGUGCGGUAUCGAGAAACCUACGGGGUCGGGAGGGAUAGACUCAUUCCUAGAGUGGGAAUGCUGGAGCUACCACUGACACUUAGGUGGCACAAGCUGGACUACAUUUAUGUAGGUCCUAGAACAUGAUUAAACAAUGACAUUGAAUCAGGAAAUGACAAUCACUACUAGAUAGGCUUAGUAGUUUGAUUACCUUGACAUGCUUAUAGCAUAGUGUUGGGACUUGUAGUAUAUAUGAUAGUCUUAUUUGUUGCAUCAUAGUAUACUUGGCUGCCAUGAUAGAGCAUAUUCAUCAUAUAUUUAUAUAGUGGAUCAUGAUACCUACUUGCUCGUUAUGUUGGGACGUAUUAGUCAUGCUUGGACAUACUUCAUUUUGAUAAAGUAGAUGUACAACACAUUGACAUCAUGUUUAUUUGCGACAUAUAUAAUAGCUUAGCAUUUUAAUUAUGCUUUCAUAAAUGCAAUCUAUUUAUUAUUAUUGUUACUUUUUGGACUUACCCUUUUCUUUUGGGGCCUAGUGGUGCAUUAAGCUGAGGUCAGUAAUUGCCCACUGGGAACUAUAAAUUAUAGUUCUCACGCCCUCUGUUUUAUGUCUUAUUUCAGAGCCUUCCACGCUGGGAGAGGCUAGAGACCGCGGAAAGGAUAUCGCCUCGAGCUAACUUGCUAUCGAGAGACGCGUUGAUAGGUGGUUUACCUCUCGCUAUUUUCUUUUUAGAGAGGUUACGAGUUGUAUCCAUGUGUAGUGACUAUCCUUUUGUGUACCCCUUUUUGGAUAUGGUUAUGGUAUAACUUUAUGAUUCACUUUUAUUUUUAGUAUUUUUCCUUCCACCUUGUUAUAGAUGAUAGAACUAUUCUUACUCUGAUAUCUCUAGAUGUAGAUUACUUUUGGCUUUAUUUUUCGCUGUUGUUGUAGACGCCUGAUAUGUAUUGACAUAUGGUGGGUCUGGGCGCGCUACCGGGAGGGCCUUCGUCGGUCUCGGGGCGUGACACUUGCUCUUUUUGGGAGAUCAAGAAGCAUUUUCACCAUUUUCGGUGAGUUUUUGCCCUUUUGCUUGAGUUGUUUAAUGUUCGAAUCUAGGAUUGUUCGUAAUGUUCGUGUAUCCCUCCUUUUGUUACCUUUAGGGUACUAGGAGAGUGGUGGACACCUUCAUCGGAGCAAACGAAGGGUUUCGUGAAGUCACGGUGGGUUUGGCUUCAUUGGAAUAGAAGGAAACUCCUCCUAAGUGGUUAAAUAUUUUCGUUUCAUUGCAUCGCAUGCAUAUCCAUGCUAGAUAGAAUUUACGUGAAUUUUAGAAUGCUUAAAAUGCAUGUGUUAUGCAUUAUGAAAAUUCGUCUCUCUAUAGUAGAGCCUUAUGUGGAUUAAUCAUGCAUGUGAGUAGCAUUCUUUUUGGGUAUUGGAAAUAUGUCUCGUAUGACGAAAAUGACUCUAAUUAUGUAUUCUUGAAUACUAAACUCAUGCUUGGACUUGGUGAACAAAAGUGCCAUAAAGAGGCACCGACUUAGUAAACUGUGAAACUGCAAUAUAGAGACAUAGUGAUAGGCCAUUGUGACAUCUACUAUAUUCCAUGUUUUAGACAUGAUGACAUAGUGAUAGGCCAUUGAGACAUAUGUUAUAUUCUAUGUUUUAGACAUGAGGACUUGAAACUUGAGACAGACUUAUAUGCUUACUUCCCUUUGUGCUCAUUCGCACAUGAUUGUGAGAGUCGCUCCCUAUAAGCCGGCACUCCGGAGAUAGCCAUCGCGAUACAUACUCGCCGUGCGGGAUUGGGCGCCGAAGUGGAUUGCCGUGGGCAAGGCUCAUUCCUAGAGUGGGGAUGUUGACUACCACGGAGCCAUUAGGCACGGCACAGGCCAGACAGCCCACGGGUGGGUCUUCAGGCCAGACAGCCUACGGGCGGGUUUUACAAGAUUGGAACUUUAAGUAGUUAACAUGCCAUGUGGACAUUGACUAGAAUAGUAAACAUUGACAUUUUACUAUUUCGUUGUAGACAUCAUGUUAGUCGUAUAUUUUCCGCCUAUUCAUUUAUAGAAUAGCUUCUUACUUACGCAAUUUCAUGCUAAGUAGAGAUAUCAUGUUAUAGUAAGUUUACAUGUUUAUUUACAUGUCGUUCAUAUCGCUUUUACUUAUUUACUUACCUGUUUAGUUUUGGGGCCUAGUGGUGCACCUAUCUGAAGUCAGUAAUUGCCCACUGGGAACUAUUAUUUAAUAGUUCUCACGCCCUCUGUUUGAUGUUUUUUUCAGAGCCUUCAGCACCGGCGGAGGCACGGGAUUGCGGCAAGGAAGUCGCAUAGCUAGUUAACGCGGAGCUUGCUUUUGCUCCUAGGUGGUCUACUUUCUUUUUGUGUUUUUUUGUGAGAGAGAUUUUGUUACCAUGUACAGGGACCAUCAUUGUACCACUUAUAGCACUUGUACUUGGAUUUUUAUUGUUCUACUUUAUGGUUUAAUUUAGUGAAUUUUAGCUUUUGUUGUACUCUCAUGUUGUAGAAUCUAGUAGUACUUUACUCUGAUAUCGCUAGAUCUCUUUGAAUUAUUAUUUUAUUUAUUGCUUUAUCGUUGACGCCUUAUAUGUUUUAGACAUAUGGCGGGUCUGGACACGUGCCGGGCGGGCUUCCGCUGGGCCCCGGGGAGUGACAUAUCCUCACCCUGUGAGUAGACCCAUAGUCGAGAGGAUUUAAGGUUGAGGUGCAUGUAAGACUUCCUUCGCCUCGAGCCGACAGAGCGCGGACUAUCCGCGGUGGAUUGACCCAAGAACGAGUCGAGUAGUAUAGUUGGCUAAGGUAAAAGUAACCUUAGGAAAGAAUGGCCAAUGAGUAUAGUAUGACUAAGAAUAAAGAAUAAAGAACGGCUAAUGUUAAAGAAUAGAAAAUGCUAAAAAAUAGCUAAUAAUGUAAAGAAUGAUUAGCGAUAAAGAAUGGCUAAUAGUAAAGAAUGGCUAACAGUAAAGAAUAGCUAAGAAUAAAGAGUAGAAUCAGUUAAUCUACUUGUAUGAGUUGCAUGAUUUGCAUAUUGCAUAUUGUGAGGCAUGAACAUGAUAAAUGUUAGUUGCAUAAAUUAUAUAUAUCUGUGGAUAUUCGUUGGACUAACAUGUUUGGAGUACCUCCUUUGGACCUGGUGGAUCGAGCUUUCUCCUUGGGUGGCCGUACACACUGGAAACUAUGGACAAUAGUUUUCACCCCCAUAUUGUUUUUGGGGAUUACGGUUUACACGCGAGCGGCGCGGCAGCGCGAGGAAAGGGCGUAGCUCCGUAGUUAGCGCCCAACCCCCGAGACCUGAGAUAGUAGUACCCUGAGUCGGCUACUUAGGGAUGUAAAAGAAAAAAAAAGAACAAAACUGUAAUAAUCUUGUUAAAACUAGAUUGUAUUUGGAAGCUUAAAAGAGAAUGGAAAGUGUAAAAUGUGAUGUAAAAUGUAUUUAAGUUGAAUGCUUGUAUAGCAUAGUGUUUAUAUUUUUGAUACCUUCCUUAUGCAAUCUUUGUUUGUAUGUUGUUCCUGGUUGCAAGGUUGAAGGUGCCGCCCCGUGCCGUACGGCACGGGGCGUGCCGUACCGUGCCCCCAAGAAGGGGGCACGGUACAGGGGGGGUCUCGGACCCCCCUGGGUGCCGCGGCACAAGCCGCGUGCCGCUCGAGACAAAGCGGCACGCGGCCAUGUGCCGCGGCACUGUGCCGCGUGCCGGCUUUUUUUUUUUUUUGGCUUUUUUUUUUGGCUUUUUUUUUUUGGUUUUGUCUCUUUUUUUUUGUUCUCUGGGAUACAGAGCCUUCGCCCGGCCAUCUAUAUUGCCUUUUGUUCACUUUUCUUUUAUUUUUUUGACAUUGUGUUGUCUUUUGUCAACUUUUUUUUUCUUUUUGGCUGAUGCCUUUUUUUUUUUUUUUGCCUUUGGCUUUUUCUUUUGACUUUUUCUUUUUCUUUUGUUAAAUUAAAAUUAUAAUUUAACUUCUUAUUUAACAAUAUAAGCAAACAGACAUCCAUUUUUUCUUCGCAAAUUAUUUUGUCAAAUUUGUCGCACCGCGAAGUUUUCGAUGAAUCAGGGGAACAAAAAUUGAUCUCCUAAACAAAUUUUGAUUAGAUAUUUUUUAAAAGAAUAAAAAAUUAUGGAUGUAUUGCGGUACUAUUCUCGUUGUUCAGUUAUUAUAUACUUCAUAAUCGAAUCAAUAUAUAAGAUUUUGAAACGUUUUUAGAAAAAUAAAAUUUUCUAUCAUUUUAUCUGUUAUAAUUUUUUAAAUUACAAAAAAAUUAAAAACAAAAGAAUUUUCAAUUGUUACAGCAAGUAUAGUUGUACUUUUCAAAUAAAAAAAAAUAAAAACAAAAGAAUUUUAAUUUAUAUUCUACAUCAGGUAUAGUUGUACUUUAUAUACAAAAUGCUUACAUGCAUGUUAAUUGAUGAGUAUAAUAAGCUAUACAUAGCAAAAAUUAAUAAUAACUUGCCUAAAUCUUUCAAAAUAACAUUAUAAAAGCUUACUGGAACCAAAAAAACUUAAAUAAAUUCGUGCCAAAGCGUGCCAGUAGGAGGUCGUGCGUAUCUGUCGGCACGCAAGCGUGCCACGUGUCGGCACGCAAGCGUGCCCGUGCCGUACCGUGCCAAGGACGUAGCGGCACGCCCCCGUGCGACGGCACUUUAAACCUUGCCUGGUUGGAACCUCGCGCAUUGUAUGGAUUGUGACGCCUUGGACGUACAGGGAAGACUCUGUCCAUGGUACAGGAAAAAUUCUGUCCGUUCAGCGGUCUGUCGGCGUGCCCGAACCGACCAAAUAGGCAGGCUCGGUGCAUGACAAUGUUGCUGCCAAAAUUGCAGAACUUGCACUGGGUACCGAUACCAACUCAGGGGAGUACCGGUACCCAGACCCGAGAUGGACUAAACUGUAAAGAUUAAUUACAGAUUUUGUGUGGGGGUUAUGUGCUAUUGUCUGAUCUUAUCUAUACCCCUGGACACUUCACCAAUUUCAUACAUGCCAGGCCUUCCCUUCUCUCCUUCUCUUCUUAUCUCUUCUUCUUCUCUCUCUAAAAACCAUACGAAGUGGAUUUUGAAGGAGAAGUUGGUGGAUUUGGUGUUUUGAGCUGAGAAGAAUUUCAGCAGCAGGGAGAAAACCUAGUGGAGAGUGAAUUCUGAGGUGAGGUUAUUAUAUCUCUUGAUUAGGGUUAUGUUAUUUACCUUAAAUAGGGUUGAGCUUGGUUUUCUAGGUUGCUUGAAGUGGUUUUGCCAUGAUAAACCUAGAGAAAGAUUGUAUCAUGUGCAGUAAUAUGUGAACUCUUGGGUUGAUAUGAAAGUUGUUGGAAUAUAAACAUAGCUUGAGUUUGAUCUCUUAUAUUCCUAAAUUACUUGGUUUUGAGAUUCUUAGAAUUGUUGAAGUUAAACUACUCUAUAUGUUCUUAUAGAACCUGUGUAGAAAGAGGCUAUGUAGAGCUAAAGCUCAAAAAUACAAUUUUGUAGGAUUGGAGGCCUAGCUUGAGAUUGAUCGCAUGAAAAUCUAAUUGAGGGUAAAACCGACGUGUUGGGAUACUCGGGACGGUGUUCCGACGAGCCUAUGGCAAGUUAUUGAGGAAAAACCUCAUUUUAGUUUCGUUUGUCGCGAGCGAGGGGUGUGAUCGUUUAUAAAUCGCGGGAAGUGGUUUUCUCGCAUUCCGGCAUUAUUUAAAGGUGGGUUGUCACGACCCGCGACCACCCGCCUAUUUGGCCGAGGUCGCGGCGCCGACAGCGCCGAAUGGACAGAGUUUUCCCUGUACUACGGACAGAGUCUCCCCUGUACAUUCAAGGCAUCGCAAUCAAUACAAUACAAUGGUCCCAACGAGGAACAGUAUUCAACAAACAGAUUGCAUAAGGAAGGUAUCAACAACAUAUCACAUCCUAUGUUAUUACAUACAUGCACAUUCAUUGGUUUUACAUCACAAUUCUCAUUUGCUUUCCUCCAAAUACAAUCUAGUUAUUACAAACUUAUCUACAAAUUGAUACAUUGUGUUCUCUUCAUUUUCUAUACCCCUAACCACGUCGACGGGGUACUGCUAGCUCUGGUCUCUGGGUAGGACGCUAUCUACUGAGCUACGCCCUUUCCUCGCGCCGCCGCGCCGCUCACGUGCGAACCUGUAACACCCCAAAACAACGUGGGGUGAGAACCAACUCCAUGGUUCCCAGUGGGUACGGCCACCCAAGGGAAAAGCUCGACCAAAAGGUCUAAGUAGGCCCUGCAACAUGUUAGUUCAACAAUAUACAAUGCAAAUAUAUUCAAUUGAAAUACAUGUUAGGCCUAACAAUAUGCAAUAUGCAAGUCAUGCAACUCUAUGCAAUAUCUAGUAGAUCAUUUGAAUUCUACUUUUACUUAGCUACCUUAGCUCACAUUUCUUUACUCUAAGAUUUCUAUUACCUCAGUUCACAACUAAAGUUCACUUUGUUUCUAAGGUCUCUAUUACCUUAGUUCUUACCUUUAUCACUGGCUUUCAAGGUUUCUAUUAACCUAAUCAAGCUAACCACCCGACUCGGUCUCGAGUCAAUCAUCCGCGGAUAGUCCGCGCACUGGCUGCCCUCUAAGACUUAACCAGCUGGCGGCGAAGUCGUCGCACACGCCGAACACUGGUUCAAGUCCCUCGACUUGGCCAUCUGGCGGCGAACGAAUCGCACCUCACCCAACAAUGGCUCAAGUCGAUCUGGCGGCAUAAUCCACAACUUGGCUUAACCAUCCGGCGGCGAAAUCGUCGCACAUGCCACGACAAUGGUUCAAGCCCCGGGCGGUGAUCUCUGCACAUUCACCCCCAAUCCAUCCUUGGUAUCAACCUCGGCGGCGAAAUCGUCGCACACGCCCUAGCCUUGAUACCAAGGUCAUCAUAGGUCCUAGGAUUCCGGAAUCUACUUACACAGGUCGAGGGUCCAUAACCAACCCUAUGCUGUCGACCUAAUACAACCUAGUGGUUGCUACCACUAUACACAACAACCUAGGUUCAAGCCACUCUAGGUUUACUAUAUCACAACCUAGGUUAUAAACUCUAGGUUUACUAGUUCAACCUAUGUUCACUGACACUAGGUUCAACAUCACUAUGUUCGACCUAUGUUUAUCAACACUAGGUUAGAUGCCACUCGAUCUAGUUCACAUGCUAAUUGUCCAUAGCAAGUAUUACAGUUAUACAAAUCCUAUUUUCCAAUGUUAUCUUUCUAAUAAAGCUAGAAUUAUCAACCAAGUUUAUAUGCAUAUAUAAUCUCACAAUGCAAAGCAUGCAUUUAUAGUCUCACAUAUCAUUUAUAUGCAUCUACUUAGCAUUUGCAUCAUACUAUUAUAUGCAUUAUCUAGCAUUAUGCAACUUGCUCAUUAUGCAUUUCUAGUUAGCAUUUACAUUAACAUGCAUUAUUUAACUUGCUCAUUAUGCAUUCCAAUUAGCACUUCUACAUUACAUCACUUAGCAUUAGCUACAUGCGUCAUUUACAUUUAUAUGCAUCAACAAGGUACAUAAAGGCGACCUAGUCGCUUCGGUAAGCACAACCCACCUUAACUCGCGUUCCGAUUGCUUGUCGACACUUGCAAUCGGCCUCCCGCGGCACUCGUAUCCGGCACGGCCCGAUAUUGCAACUGCGCCUCAACCGUGCUUCGCUUCACAGCCCCGGAAAUUAUAGGUCUUCGGUUAUGUGCCACGGUGCUCCAAAUCCAUUUCCACGAUUUUACGACGUCGCCUCGGCCCUCCAGGCGGACCCGAAGCCUAAACGUCCAUUUCUUUAAUAACUUUGUGACGGCUCGUCGGAUUGCCGAACCGUCUUCGCCAACGCGUUUCGUUACCUAGCAAUUAGAUUUACGAAGGGUCAAAUGAGAUCAAACCCUCAUAUUUUAAAAGUUCGCAUUUUGGAGCCCUAGAUUACAACUAUACAAGAAAUCUCUAAAUUGAUCCAUGAUUCAAGCAUUAAUCAUCUAGAUAGGAUGCUAGGACUUCUCUAAAUCCAUUUAUAAGGUAUUUAAACCAAGAAUUAAAGAUCUACCAUUAAAGGGCUCAAGAAGCUCACCUCAAAAUGAGCUCCAAAUCAUGGAGAAGAAGAAGACGAAGGCGAUCCACCUCCAAGCUUCAAUCUCCACCAAAUCCAUCCAUUUUGGGAGAGAUUUAGAGAGAGAAAAGAGAGUUUCUCUCUCUCCCUCCAUGCGCGUGCGUGUGUGUAUGUGUGGUGGCAGCCACGGUUGGGAGGAAGAAGAAUAAAAGGGUUUAAGCCCCUUUUUACCAUUUUGCCCCUCAACUACGCACCAUUCACUUCGGGCAGUUUAUUUUUCACUGGAGCCCUUCUGAACGUCCGUUUGAACUCAAAUUUGACAAGCAUGCUCGGUUUUACUUAAUAAGUCCAAAGAAAUUUUAAUAUUUUAGUUUCGACCCCGUUUGGUCACUGAAAACUGUACCGAACUGCAAUCUUUAUCAGAUAGCUUUCGGAUUCUAUUUCUCUCUCUACGGGUGUCAGAAUGGUAUGAAACUUUAAAUCUAGCCUCUUUUCAUAAUUUUCUGACAUUGUGCAUUUUCUGCUAAUUUAUCUGCCCCGUUUCUCACAGAAAAUGCUAAAUCUUCUGUUUUCGCUCCGAUUUCAGCACAGGUCACUCCCAACCUAUAUUUCGCUUCUCUAAAUCCGAUAAAAUAGUAUCUCAUACUAGUUUUAUUUAUUUUCACUUUUCUACUUAAAAUCCGGUAUGUUACAUUCCACCACAACCUCACUGGAACCAUUUAAAUGUACACCGUGACUUCAUGAUUUUAGAAGUUCGGUAUGUUACAUGGGUGGUGCUUUCCGAAGUCAUCGAAUGACCUAUUAUGUUUAUGUCACUUUUCUUGAGCAUACAUGUAUUGUAUAUAUUUAGUUGGAUAUCCAUGCAUUAUAGGGUUGAGUUUGAUAUGUCAUUAAAUUGACAUGUGGUCUAAUUAUAUGCUUUGGAAGCAAAAUACAUGCGUACAAUGGCUAGUAAACAUAGAACCCUAUAGAUGUAUGAACUUGUAUUGAACUAUGAAAUAGUUGAUAAAGUGACAUUGUGAAUAGAUGAUAUGAGUAACACUAAGUAGUGUGAAUGUUAAGCAAGGAAAACGAACUUGUGACAUUGUAAUAUACGGAAACUUGGAGUUGCGAUGUCAACUUUGAUCUAGAGGAUCAAAGUGAGGAUUGAGCUAGUUGGACAUCCUCCCCGAGUGAUUUGUGAUGCGUGUGAAUGAAUUCUGAAGAUAAAUAAGUGUUUCGGCGCAAAUUGGGUGCGAAACGAAAUGUAGAGAGAAUUUCGGAUUUCCGAUGCUAACUUUAAUUAAAAGAAUUAAAGUGAGCAAAAUAAUAUAAAAUGGUGUGAGAUACCAUUUGAUUGGACUUAAGGGUGUAAAGUAUAAGUCUGGAAUGGCUCGUGUUGAAAUCGGAGCGAAAACGGAAGAUUCAGAAUUUUCUGUAAAGAAUAGGACUGAGAAAUUAGCAGAAAAUACACAGUGUCAGAAAAUUAUGAAAAUUGGCGGAGAUGUUAGAAAUGGUUUUAUGAGGCUAGCUUUGAAGUUUCAUAUUAUUCUGACACCUGUGGAGAGAGAAUUAGCGUCCGAAAGUUAUCAGAUAAAGAUUACAGUUCGGGACAGUUCGCAGUGACCAAACGGGGUCGAAACUGAAAUGUUAAAAUUUCAGUGGACUUGUUAAGUAAAACCGAGCAUGCCUGUCGAAUUUGAGCUCAAUCAGACAUUUGGAAGGGCCUGCGAAAGGUGUCUGAUCCGAGUUGCUAAACGGGUUAGUCGAGGGGCAUUAUGGUAAUUAGCGCAUGCUUAGUGGAUUUCCACUAACCUGCCUGCCAGGGGAGCCUCCAUCCUUAUCCCCCUCUUCAGCCUUCAUACGUAGAGAGAGAGAAGGAGAAAAGAAGAGAAAAGAGAAGAAGAAGAAGAAGAAGAAGAAGAAGAAAAGAGAUAGGAAUUUAAUCUCUCCCUCUUACCCCUCUCCCUGCUGUCAGCUUCAGCAGCAGUCAGCAGCAGCAGCAGCAGCAGCCUCAGCAGCAGCAGGAGCAGCUUCAGCAGUCAGCAGCAGCAGCUUCAGCAGUAGCAGUAGCAGUAGCAGCUCAGCAGGAGCAGCAGUAGCAGCUUCAGCAGCAGCAACAGCAGCUCAGCAGGAGCUGCUGAGCAGCAGCAGCAGCAGCUUGCACAGGAGUAGCAGGAGCAGCAGCAGCAGCAGCUUGCGCAGGAGCAGCAGCAGUCAGCAGCAGCAGCUCAGCCAAGCUGCUGUCAGCAGCAGCAACAGUCAGCCAUCAGCAGUAGCUCUGCUGCAGGGAAAGAAAAGAAAGAAAGAAAGAAAGCAAGAAAAGAAAGAAAGGAAGAAAGAAAGAAAAGAAAGAAAGAAAGCAAGAAAGAAAGAAAGAAAGCAAGAAAGUAAGAAAGAAAGAAAAAGAAAAAGAAGAGAUGGAAAGAAAUGAAAGAAAAGAAGGAAUUGAAAUAAUCCUUUAUUAGGGAUUGAUGUAAGUCCUCUAAACUAAUUGUUUAAGGUUCUUUGGGUUAGUAAAGAGUUGAAAUACUCUAUGUAAUUGUGAAAUUUCAUAGAAACGGGUUUAAUAGAAAACUGCCCUCGAUAAUGCACUUUUGUAGGAUUGAAGUCCUAAUGUGAAAUUGACCGCGUACAAACCUAAUUGAGGGUAAAACAAACGCGUUGGCGAAGUCGGUUCGGCAAUCCGUCGAGCCUACGCGAAGAUAUCGCCAAAAGAGCAUUUUCGACUACAAUUGUCGGGAGCGCGGGUCGCGAUUCUCGGGAAAGUGUGAGAAGCGGAUUUCUUGCAUUCCAGUAUCAAGUAAAGGUGGGUUGUGCUUUACCGAAGUUAUUAGGUCACUUCCAUGCCAAAGUAAAGUAAGGUGUUUCUUAACGCAUGUAUGUUUAGCGGUAAUUUCUUAUUACUGAAAUGAAAGCAUGAAUCAUGUAAAUUGCCUAUUAUUAGAAUAUGUACAUGAAUGUAAUGAUAAUCAUGUGUGAUUAUUUACAUGCGAUAGACAUGCUAGAUGAUGUAUAAUGGUAAUCGGGUAAUGAACAUGCUAGCGGCAUAUGAAUAUAUUGUAGAUUGUGCUAAAUACAUAUAAUUAUCGAUAUAUGAACGUGAAUGUCACGCCCCGGGACCGGCGGAGGCCCUCCCGGUAGCGUGCCCAGACCCGCCAUAUGUCUACACAUAUAAGGCGUCUAGAAUAAAAGCGGAAGUAAAAGCAAGUAGUAAGACAAGUAGAAGAAGUGAAAUAACAAGCAACUAAUGAUAUCAGAGCGAGUAUAGUUCUAUCAUCUACACCAAGGUAAGGAAGUAAAGUUAGACAGUAAAAGGAGUCAUAAGAAGUACAAUAUCUGUCUCAAAUGUACAAAAAUGGUGGUCUCUAGUACGCUGGUAAAACACUCAACCUCUCGCAAAAUAAAACAUAAAUCGAGAGGUAGACCACCUAGCAACUCGUCCUCGAAGGAAGCUAGCUCGAGGCAGCUCCCUUCCCGCGAUCCCUGGCCUCACCCUGCGUGGAAGGCUCUGAAAAACAUCGAGAAAAAGAGGGCGUGAGAACUAUAAUUUAUAGUUCCCAGUGGGCAAUUACUGACCUCAGCUCUAUGCACCACUAGGCCCCAAAAGAAAAGGGUAAGUACUAUAAGCAAUAAUAAGAGUAAUAGCAACAACAAUACGAAAGCAUAAUUGAAGAGCUAACCGCUAUAUCUCAAGUAAACAUGAUGUCAUGGUGAUGUAUAUCUACGCUAUCAUAAGAUAAUAUGUCCAAUGCAUAAAGAGUAAGCUCUAACCAAGCAACCGAGUAUACUACAAUGCAACAAUGACAACGGCUUAGUGUGUAUAUGUACCAAUGCUAUAUCAUGAGCAUCUCAAAGUAAUAUCCAACUACUAAACCUAUCUAGUAGUGAUUAUUAAUUUCUCAACACUGUGUCGAUUCCCAUUUCCAAUAAGAACCACCAAGGUAGUCCAGCUUGUGCCGCCUAAGUGCCUGUGUAGCCCGACAUCCUACUCUUGGAAUGUGUCUGUCCACUCGACCCGUAGGCUUCUCAAUUCCGACAGAACGAAACAUAGUCCGCGUAGGUAACUCCGGAGUGCCGCUUGUAGGGAGCGACCCUCACAAGCAUGCAGUGCGAAUGAGCACAAAUGGCAAGCAAGCAUAGUCCAAGUCCAAAUAUCCAAUCCUCAUGUCUCUAACAUGGUAUGGUCACUAGCAUCACGAAGAUCUAGUUUAAGUCAAAAUGUGGAGUUUCAACAUUGUGCUACGCUAGUGCCCCUUGAUGACACUUAGGCAAUUUGAUGUUCAACAUGUAUUCAAAUCCCUCAAUGGCCCUAUCCACUAGGUUCUCACAUAUCCCGAGCUCAAUGCCGCUUGAUGACAUUAGCUCUUUAAAUCACAUACAAUUCAAGUUCGGUGACCCAAUAUGGCCAAUGUUGUUAUCUUUCUUGUCUCAAUUAAACUUAGUUUAAAUGCAUGAAUCAAACUCAUUUACACUAUAAGCAACAUGGCCAACAUAAGAAUGCUAGAGAAUCCCGCAUAAGCUUCAUAUGUACUUCUCUACUACUUAGAGGUCCAAAAUUUUCACUACAUGUGACAUGGGUAUUUUAAGCAUUCCAAAAUCAUAAUAAAUGCAUGUGACAUGAUUAUGCAUGAUUUUCCAAGUUACAAAAUAUAAUUCACCAUAUAUGAGAAUUUCUCAUAUUAUAGGCUAGGCAAACCCACCAAAAUCGAAACUCUCGACCGCCGAAUGAAGGUUCGGCAAGCUCCCUAAUACCCUAAGAGCAUCAAAAACGGGAUUACCCAAACGAAACGAAGAGCGAAAAAGCUCAAACAUUAAGCAUCUAGCAAAAUGGGCAAACUCACCUCAAGAGAAGAAAUCUCUUCCUAAGCUCCAAAAGAGAGCUAGAACCCUUCCAAUCUAAUCUAGAGGAAGGUUCUAAUCCAAC